rnacentral:rRNA from 1 species
AUGUGGACGCCAAUCUGGUCCUAUGCGUCGGACAAGUCCAGGAACGUCGACUCGGCGAGAUCGAUUGCGCGAGCGAGCCCGGCGGCCUUGUUCUGGCACUCCUGCUGCUCAUCGUCCGGCUUACUGUCGGCGACGAUCCCGGCGCCGGUCUGGAUGUGCGCCACCCACUCCUGGCGCGCGUUGCUGCUGUCUGUGCCAUACGAGUACAUGGUGUCGAACCGGGACGCCGUCGGGAAGACAAUGGUGCGCAGGGCGAGAGCGAUGUCCAUGUCACCGCGGAAGGAGAUCUGGCCAAAGCCACCACUGUAUGGCCCGCGCAUCGUCACUUCCAUCUCGUCGAUCAGCUCCAUCGCUCUCACCUGGGAGAUGAGUUUCAGAAGGAAGCAUGUGGGAGCUUGCUCAGUGAAUUCAGGGUUGAAUCAUGGAGGCAUUGAAUUUGAACAACAGCUUUCUGGAACUCAGAAAUAUGAUUGA